GAUGUAGAAAGAUAAUAGACGGAAGUGUGAGUCACUGAGCUGGGCCUUGAGGUAUGGGCAGGUUCCAGUAGUAGACCUGGAGGGAGUGGGCAGUUUCCCUGUCAACCGUUGCAAGCCCACCAAUGGCAGCGCUGGGAGGUGGGAUGAUGGGAAGGCUGUCAAAGUAACCCUAGCACGUGACCAGGGGCGUUCAAGUGUGGAUUGUCCAGUGCGGCUUCCGUGGACGGUACCUGCCAGCAAUGUGGGAAUAUGGUGGCUCCCUUUCCUACGGCCUGAAAAGUGACCUGAGGUUCAAAUGAAGAGUCCAGGGCUGGUCAUCCUGUGGGCCUGCAAUGGGAAGAGAGUGGACCAGGAGUCACUAUCCACACGAGCCAGACAAAAAAGCAUCCUAGUAGCGAGCAGAAACAGCAGGGACUUGAUGGGAGUGUCCAAAUAAGCUUCAGGAAUCCAGAGAUUGUUAGAGGACAGCACAUGUGCUUUUCUUCAGAGCCAGCACACAUUUCCUCAGUGAUUACUGGACCUCUCUUUGGGAGCCAGCCUCUUUCAUCCAGCUGUGAUGUCAGGAGGAUGCCCGGCAAUUCAGACGUCACCUGCCUGUGAGCCACGUUCUUUGCUGGCUGACUGGGACGCCUUACGUGGAAGCCGAUGGGGCUCAGCACCAAGUUCAGGCUGGAGGGUGCUCUUUAACUGGCAGUGCCGAAAAGGUCUCUUGUCUUUCUUUGCCUGUGUAAAGUCACUUCUCUUCUGGGCUGUGGUUAGAGUGCUGAAACUCAGGUGAUGGCUUCUGACAGCCUUCAGGAGACAGCCCUAAGUGGGCACAUGAAUUAUUCUACAGUGCAUUCAAAGACACUUCCCACCUUUGGUCUCAUAGGUGGUUCCUUUAUUGCUUUAUUAGCUCAGGUCUUAUACAGGAGGUGGCAUUGCAGAACCUGCGGCUCACUCACCAAAGGCCAACACUAUCCCCAUUUCUUUGUGAGUGGAAAUGAAAGUGUGUAGCCUCUAUGCAUCAUGUUGACAUUUCACAUACUUUUUAUUUGCCCCUGCAAUUGAUCAAAUGACUUUAAUUCUUUGGAAGAUGGGCAUCCUUACGGUUUUCCACUCACUGAAAACCUGAGGCCUGAGAUACUUAGGAGACCCCAUACCCGAACCCGUGUUUCUUCCCCACGUGACGUGGCGGUGACCAAGACUGGCCUAUCUGCUUGCCAAAAACAGCUGUGCAACUUAACCUUAACUGUGAUGCCUUCUUCCCCUUCCACACACACUUGUGCCCACUGCCCAUCAAAGUCGCUUGGGCGUAGACCUAAGUGGAGGGCUCAGUGGGUAAAUCUGCUGACUACUGGAACUUCAAAAUAAGCCCCAAGGUUGCAUAUUCCAAAAGGGGACCCUCCUUGGUGGCGUUCUGAAAAUUGCAGACUCUCAGAGGUGGAGGAGGUGGCCCUCCCCAGCAUGGCAGGUGGGAUCCGGCUGGUGGUUCUUUCCCGGGAGUUCAUUCCUCGGCCAGCCAGGCCCAUUAGCCUCAUCGUGAGGCAUGUACUCAGUGAAUGUCUGCUCACUGGUGGGACUCUUAAUGUGCUGUAAAUACUUGGUGUAAAGUAUCCCACAGCAAACCCUGUUUGCCUGGGUGUUUUCUCAUUCCUCUGAGUUAUGUAGGUGAUGACAUGAGAAUGGAUAUGUCACCCACAUGAUGUAAAAGGAAUGGGCGCUUACCUUAAGGCGAGGCCUUAAAAGUAGAAUGUGUUCCUUUUUUUACUGCACCCAGGUCAUAUGCCCACUUUGUAUGACUGCAUAAUAUUCCAUCGUAUAUGUGUGCCACAUUUGCCUUUAUCUGUUCAUCUGUUGACAGACACUUAAGUGUUUUUCAUGUCAUGGCUAUUGUGAAUAAUGCUGCAUAGGGUGUGGGGGUGCAGCGAUCUCUUUGAAAUGGUGAUUUCACUUCCUUCAGAGAUAUCCCCAGAAGUGGCAUUGCUGAAUCACCUGGUAGUUCUGUUUCUAAUUUUUGGAGGAACAUGCAUAGUGUUUUCCAUAGUGGCUGCACUAGUUUACGUGGGAGAGAGAGCACAUCUUGAACUAAAUGGAUAUAAUGACAGGUUCUCCGGCCAUGUUUCAUUGUCUGUUCUUUUCAGGACAGGAACAAUGGAGGUUAGAGGCCUAAAAGGGAGCAGGGCUUUUAUCAUCAGGAAAGAUGGAAAGAGCACCUUGCUGUGGUCCUUUUAGGUGCUUAAUGCCUAGAGGUGGAGAGAGGUCUGGGUCUCAGAGCCUGAGGCAAAAUGGGAACAGGAGGAUAGGGGGCCCUCAGUGUGAAAAGAGUAGUAGUGGGCUGUGUGUGUUCAAGAGUGUCUCUUGCCCACUUCCCGAUGCCUGGCACUUCCUGGCAUCACACAGCGGGAGGACAAAGGACCAGAAUGCAUACUGUUGAGUGGGACAUGAGAAUAUGUGGCCCUGUGGCAAGGCAAGGCUUUGAUGAUGGGGGCUGCUUAUUUUCCAGCUUCCCUGAGGAUUUGGGGCUCUGCUACUGAGGAGGUUUGCGCUCGCGUCUCGGCCUCGGCCCGUGUGAUUGCAGUGUCUUGCUUGGCCUGUGAGCAGCCGGCUCAGGAAAGGUGGCCCUUGGCCUUCCACUGCUGUUGUCCAGAGCAGUGACCUGGGGGAGUCCUGUGAGAGGCCACUGCUGUGGUGUCUGGCGAGCAGUGCCACUUGGCUGAGAUGACUAUUGGGCCUCUCGUAUGGAUAGUGAGCUGUGUUCCCACAGAGAGUGGCUGUCGCCGGCAUCGUCCUCCGGAUACACUGGGAGUGCCAGACACUUCUUCCUUUGACACUCGCCAUGGCUGAAAUUCCUCAUGAAUUCCUGAGGAAAGUUCAUACUGGCAUGGCGGCAUCUGGGGCCUGGGGAAUGUCGGGCCCGGGAAGAUGCUGAGUGUGGGGCUUCUGAAGAUACUGAAAGAGAUUGCUGGCUGCGCCACAGAGCGGUAGCAUUUUGGGAGUCCUGAGGAGCCCUCUGCUCUGUGUGGGAAUGGGGCUGGAGUGGUAGCCAGGCCUUCCCGUAGUCGCCUUCUGCAUGCUUCUGCUGAGUAUACUGUGCACAUUGGGGGGGCAAGAAACACCAACCACGUGGUUCCUGUCAGUGAUGGGUUCUCUGGCCACGUUUGAUUGUUGGUUCUUUUCAGGAGACAAACAGUAGAGGUUAGAGCUGGGGACGCUCGGAUUGCCAGGCCUGUGCGGCUGAGCCUGGAUGUUCAGGAACCUCCUGGGUCAGCUCUCCAGGCUGGAGGAUUAAGCCCUCCUGUUCCCCUUGUUGAAGAGGGGACAUACCUGCAGCUGGAGCUGCCCCUUGUGCUGUUCGUCUGCUAGGAGGCAUCACCACUAGGACGUGUGACCCCUCUGCCAUCUCGGUCUUCUCAGGAGGGGGUGCCAUUGCCUCCAGGGGACCUUGUGUGCACUCUCAAGGAGGAGGACGUCGUAGACCCAGCCAGGCGCUUCAGGAAUGGGGUGCGGUGCUGCAGCUGCUGGAGGGCUGAGCGGAUGUCGGGGGGCUUGGGGGAGCUGCAGUGUGAAGCGGCUGUGUGGGGGGAGCUCUGGUUGCCCUAUUUUGCCUUUUGGUUGCACUUAGUAACUGAACUGUGGGGCUGGCACAUAAGGGACCCAGCCGGGAUAUGAGAACAGUCUGCGAGCAUAAGGAAAUCACAGACAGUGGGGAGGCUGAGACUUUGGUGAGAGUUGUGCUGGGCAUUGUGGUUCAGGGGUGUGUCUGUCUCCUGCCCCCUUUGCCCACCCCUCACGUUGCCUUUGGCCCAGCAUGCCUGCGGGACAGCAGACCGCCGUGGACACUGACAGAUAUGAUGUGAGAAACUGUGGCUCUCUCGUAAAGCCGAGACGCUUAUUACGGGGACAGGCUUUAUUUUCGGUUUACCUGAUGAACUGUGGGCUUCUUGGGGGAGAAGUUUUGCUGUCUCAUCCUUAUUCUGUGUUGCCUCAAGUCUGUGAAAACAGACUACUGGGGGAAGAUCGCCUUCAUCCUGCCAUUUUUCUGUGUAGUAUGGUCACCUGAGGGUGCUCUGAGAAGGAAUUGCAGGUGCUGUUGCUGGUCUUCUUCAGAGGAUCGCCCUGUUUGCUUGCUGUGUCCUGCAACUGAAUUUUCUUCGGGGAGCUGCUCAGGUUCUUUUCCCUCCCUGCUUUUUAGCAGGGAAGAUUGCCCUGUCUGCUUGCUGUGUCCUGACACUGUAUUCUUUUAGGGGAGGUGCUUAGGUUCUUUUCCCUCCCUGCUUUCAGCAGGGUUUAAACUCCAUUUCUGCUGCAACUUCCUAAGUUGUUCCCUGUGCACUUCAUUCUUAGCUUCUGUAAGCAUUUUUGCUUCCGGUCCUUGAGGGUUGAACAUUUCUGGGUUGUAAAAUUGGUAGGAUGCCUUUUUUGCUUUUAAAUAUUUGCAUACAUUACAAAGAGGCAAAGAAAGAACUUAGCAGUAUUCUAACGUACAUGUUCUAAGGAAUGGGAAGGGAGAUGUCUGUUAUCUUUUAUCAACAGGGAUAAUUUGACUUUUAUUUCUCAUUUUAUUUUUCCUUACUACACGCUGGUAUGAGAAACGUGGUCUCCUUGGUAUCUGUGCUCCACCCAAAUUGGUGAAUCUCGAGUCGUGGUCAAAGUCGGGCCUGUGCAGAGAACUUCGUUGAGAAGAAGUUGUGCUAAGAGCACCUGAAGGGUGGUUCAUAAGUACCUGCAUUUGCUUACCCUCCAGCCUGCUUAUGCUUGUAUCCAUACCUAUGUUCUCAGGGGCAGUGCUGUAUGGUCAGCGUGAUCAAGUGGAACGAGGAUUAAAACUGCCGACCUUGUUUAGAAAUGGUGUACGCUGAUACGCUGAUGUCAGCCUUUGGUUGGCAAGUUGAGCCAUACCUUUCCUUUUAUACCUUCCAUUUCUUGAGUGCCAUGAGGGAUCAACUGUUUGAUUUCUGUCUUUUGAUACACAGGAUGUGAUCAGGAUACAUGUUAGGAGGUAAGGACUGAGAUCCACAUUAGUGGAUAUUUAGUGUGCAGGCCUCUCAAAAUGGUGGGGAAAAUGUGCAAAAUGUGUGCACUUCUGUAUACUUUGGUCUCCUCUAGAUCCCUGUGGAUUUGAAUUAGCCCUCUCAUUCUGUCAGGCUGACUCCAGGGGCACACUGUAUGGGUUGCUGACUUUUGCCAGUCAGGCCAUCUCACAGUUUAGAUUUGGGUUGGCCUUCUGGGCUUUCCUUGCCUCUUAUUUCCUAUGCAGACCCACUGUACUGCUUCUUUUCAGCCUCAGAAAAGUACAGCAGUGGGCUGUAUUUAGUGAAUCCUAAGGAGAUUCACUGAUUUUCUCAGUUUCCCCCAUCAGUAGACACAGUGGCCUUGCAGAAUGCGGAAAGGCCUGCUAUGGUCUCAGCUACAGGUUGUGCGGUCCGGGUGCUGACCCACAGGAUACGGAAUGUGGUUAAAGCCAGGAGCCAAGCACCUGUGUUUCUCCUCCAGAGCUCAGAAUACAUGACUUGUAUACUUAAAAAUGUGCUAUGAGGUUAGAUCUUCUUCUACCUUCUGUCAUUCUUAUUAGAACAAAAAUAUUAGUACUAAUUAGGGUGGAAUGAAACUUUGGCGGGGAUGGAUGUGUUAUGGCAUAGAUUAUGGUGAUACUUCAUUAAUGUAUACUUAUUCCAACCUCAUUAAGUUGUAUAAAUUAAAUAUGUACAGCUUUUUGUAUGUCAAUCAUACUAUCAUUCCUCAAAAAAGAGGUUUAAAAUAAUAAUAAAAAGACCUUCACAUGAUUACAGAUGAGUGCUCCCCCUCAAAUGUUUUUGGAUUUUAGAACUGAAGGGGAAGGAUAUGUCUGCAUGGGGAAAUGGGUAAUGCCAUUCACUGCUUCUGUAUUAUUGUUUGGCUUGAUUUUUCCAUUUGUAUGUAGCAUUUACAUUGAUAAUGUAUAAGGUUAACCUUUAGUCCAUAGGAUUUUGAAUUCCACAGAGCUACAGCAGUUCUAUCGAAGCCAUGUACUUCACCUGGAGGACCUCGACUCAAGGAGUGGCCCUGUGUCAUCACCUAUUUGUCAGAUGAGCACAAAUUGACUUUGGGGUACUAUGAAUUUGGGAUUGGCUUGGACUCUGGAUUGUUUUCAUUGUUUACAAUGUGUGCUUUUGUGCAUACUCAAUAAAUCUUUUAAAAUAUUUUACAUAUGGGGACAUGUUUAAAUGUAUAUGUACUAUAUUUGCAUUCUACAGAGUGGAAGGCAGUAAUCUCAGGCUGACUGGUGUCUCUGAUUGGCACCUUUUCUCUGAGACCUACCCACUCCUUCUGUUCACCGUGUGACUGAGUUCCCAGGCCAUAGCUAUGUGGUUUGGUACUUUUGACAUUAUUCUACUUAAGCCGAUCAUACUUUUGUUACGUUUAGAGUUUGGGACUAGAACUCAAGAUUGAGCCAUAGCCUGCAAAGGCUCAUUAAUAUCCUUGCAUUGCAGAGAAUAUUAUUUAAAAGUCAUAUUGUUGAGUUUCCCUAAGCUGUCCUCACUUGUCUUUGAAAUGUAUCUGUUGCUUGUGUCUUGCAUCUUAUAAAAUACUUGUGUUCUUCCAAUAAAAUGUUUCAGAAGAUCCUA